rnacentral:rRNA from 1 species
AGUCGAACGAUGAUCUCCAGCUUGCUGGGGGGAUUAGUGGCGAACGGGUGAGUAACACGUGAGUAACCUGCCCUUGACUCUGGGAUAAGCCUGGGAAACUGGGUCUAAUACUGGAUACGACCUUCCAUCGCAUGGUGGUUGGUGGAAAGCUUUUGUGGUUUUGGAUGGACUCGCGGCCUAUCAGCUUGUUGGUGGGGUAAUGGCCUACCAAGGCGACGACGGGUAGCCGGCCUGAGAGGGUGGACGGCCACACUGGGACUGAGACACGGCCCAGACUCCUACGGGAGGCAGCAGUGGGGAAUAUUGCACAAUGGGCGCAAGCCUGAUGCAGCGACGCCGCGUGAGGGAUGAAGGCCUUCGGGUUGUAAACCUCUUUCAGUAGGGAAGAAGCGAAAGUGACGGUACCUGCAGAAGAAGCGCCGGCUAACUACGUGCCAGCAGCCGCGGUAAUACGUAGGGCGCAAGCGUUAUCCGGAAUUAUUGGGCGUAAAGAGCUCGUAGGCGGUUUGUCGCGUCUGCCGUGAAAGUCCGGGGCUUAACUCCGGAUCUGCGGUGGGUACGGGCAGACUUGAGUGAUGUAGGGGAGACUGGAAUUCCUGGUGUAGCGGUGAAAUGCGCAGAUAUCAGGAGGAACACCGAUGGCGAAGGCAGGUCUCUGGGCAUUAACUGACGCUGAGGAGCGAAAGCAUGGGGAGCGAACAGGAUUAGAUACCCUGGUAGUCCAUGCC